AGUAACAGCUGAAGUUCAAAGGGGACUGAGCGCAGAUCAUCGCUCCCCAUGUCCGAAUGCAGAAUGCAAGCUGCAGGCUGCCCCUCAUGACAGCUAAUGAACCAGGUUGCAAGCACGGAACGAUGCUGUUACAGCCAUUUGUAAAUGCCUUUUAGCCAACAUCAAAAGCAGCCUUUUAUUGAUGACGUUAAUACCAAGUGCGUUGGAUGAUGAAUUCACAUUUUAGUUAGUUUGCAGCUGGGGAAGUAUCUUCUGGGGAUCAUCUUGGGCAUUCCAGAAGAGCAUUCCUCAAAAGAAAUCUUGUUCCAUCCUACAUUUGUCACAUAUUCACUGCUAAACAGGAAGGCACUGCAGUGCCAUCCUGGACAGGCAUGAACGUACACCUUCAAACCCCUCUGUAAUUUAUGCUGCAGGUGAUGCUGCUCCGUCUCUCCAAGCCUGCACGGUACAACGUGAAACCGCAGAGUCGCAGCUGUGUGUCCUUUAGGGUGCACGAUGAGGAAGGGGCAGAGCUGCAAGGCGCUACCUUGGGAGCAUGAGAACGACGACUGCCUUCAGCCCAUCUUCCUCCUCCCGUCCUGGAAACAGGGAAGGUUCAGCUGAGCGCUGGCGCGGGGCUCCACACCGCAUUACAGAUCACGUCUUUGAGGAGGACUCUUUGUUUCUUAUUUGUCUCCAACUUUGAGAUCAGUAUCAGCUGACUUCUGCGAGAACAAAGCUCGAAACAUAAAGGUUUCUCAGAAGGAGGAGGGUUUGGGGGUUUGUUUUGUUGGGGUUUUUUUUUUGCAGUAACCAAGGCGCAAAUAAUAAUACCUUCAGCUUCUUGGGGAUAAAUGAGCGCUAACUUAACUAAUUGGUCAGGCUGCGUGUGAAGAACUUGCAAAUAUCUUCCAGAAAAUGAUUCUUAUGGAAGCCACCACCCGCAGCAGAAGUCUUUGGGCUCCGUUGAAACGCGCUCAUUUUUCAUGGCCGCAGAUGCUCGGCAGCUGCACGGGAACACAUCAGUGGUUGGAGCUGUCGAAACAUAACUGACAAUCAGUCUGCUGGGAAAAUAAAAUAAAGGAGCUAAUCC
rnacentral:lncRNA from 1 species